CUAGUGGCGGACGGGUGAGUAACACGUGAGUAACCAACCUUAUACACAGGAAUAACACUGGGAAACGAGUGCUAAUACCGGAUAGUAUUCUUGAGAGGCAUCUUUUAAGAAUGAAAGAUUUAUCGGUAUAAGACGGGCUCGCGUCCGAUUAGCUAGUUGGUGAGGGCAACGGCCCACCAAGGCAACGAUCGGUAGCCGGACUGAGAGGUUGACCGGCCACAUUGGGACUGAGAACGGCCCAGACUCCUACGGGAGGCAGCAGUGGGGAAUAUUGGGCAAUGGAGGCAACUCUGACCCAACAAUACCGCGUGAAGGAAGAAGGCCUUCGGGUUGUAAACUUCUUUAGGCAGGAAGAAAAAAAAUGACAUUACCUGCAGAAUAAGCCACGGCUAACUACGUGCCAGCAGCCGCGGUAAUACGUAGGUGGCGAGCGUUAUCCGGAAUUACUGGGUGUAAAGGGCGCGUAAGCGGGCGUGCAAGUAGAUGUGAAA
rnacentral:rRNA from 1 species